CCUACGGGAGGCAGCAGUGGGGAAUUUUGGACAAUGGGCGCAAGCCUGAUCCAGCAAUGCCGCGUGAGUGAAGAAGGCCUUCGGGUUGUAAAGCUCUUUUGUCAGGGAAGAAACGGUCUACUCUAAUACAGUGGGCUAAUGACGGUACCUGAAGAAUAAGCACCGGCUAACUACGUGCCAGCAGCCGCGGUAAUACGUAGGGUGCAAGCGUUAAUCGGAAUUACUGGGCGUAAAGCGUGCGCAGGCGGUUAUAUAAGUCAGAUGUGAAAUCCCCGGGCUCAACCUGGGAACUGCAUUUGAGACUGUAUGGCUAGAGUGUGUCAGAGGGGGGUUAGAAUUCCACGUGUAGCAGUGAAAUGCGUAGAUAUGUGGAGGAAUACCGAUGGCGAAGGCAGCCCCCUGGGAUAACACUGACGCUCAUGCACGAAAGCGUGGGGAGCAAACAGGAUUAGAUACCCUGGUAGUCCACGCCCUAAACGAUGUCUACUAGUUGUCGGGACUUAAUUGUCUUGGUAACGCAGCUACGCGUGAGUAGACCGCCGUCGGGAGGUACGGUCGCGAGAGUAAACGUACGUAAGAGUAGUAGACGNGAGAGACGACGACGACGACGACGGAGG
rnacentral:rRNA from 1 species